ACGGUCCUAAGGUAGCGAAAUUCCUUGUCGGGUAAGUUCCGACCUGCACGAAUGGCGUAACGACUUCCCCACUGUCUCGACCAGGAGCUCGGCGAAAUUGCAGUACGAGUAAAGAUGCUCGUUAAGCGCAGAAGGACGAAAAGACCCCGGGACCUUUACUAUACCUUGGUAUUGGCGUUAGGCGCGGAUUGUGUAGCAUAGGCGGGAGGCUUCGAAGCAUGGGCGCCAGCCCGUGUGGAGCCGCAAGGUGAAAUACCGCUCUGUUCGCAUUGGAUGUCUAACCUCGAACAGUCAUCCUGUUCAGGGACAGUGCCUGGCGGGUAGUUUAACUGGGGCGGUUGCCUCCCAAAGAGUAACGGAGGCGCCCAAAGGUCCGCUCAGCCCGGUUGGCAAUCGGGUGGCGAGUGCAAGUGCACAAGCGGGCUUGACUGCGAGGACGACGGUCCGAGCAGGGACGAAAGUCGGGACUAGUGAUCCGGUGCCGGUGUACGGACGCGGCAUCGCUCAACGGAUAAAAGGUACUCCGGGGAUAACAGGCUGAUCAUUCCCAAGAGUCCAUAUCGACGGGAUGGUUUGGCACCUCGAUGUCGGCUCGUCGCAUCCUGGGGCUGGAGCAGGUCCCAAGGGUUCGGCUGUUCGCCGAUUAAAGCGGCACGCGAGCUGGGUUCAGAACGUCGUGAGACAGUUUGGUCUCUAUCCUCUGCGCUCGUUGGAAUGCUGAGGAGGCCUGCCCAUAGUACGAGAGGACCUGGGUGGACGAACCUCUGGUAUGCCGGUUGUCACGCCAGUGGCACGGCCGGUUGGCUACGUUCGGAAGGGAUAACCGCUGAAAGCAUCUAAGCGGGAAGCCUGCUCCAAGAUAAGCAUUCCGUGGAACCUUCGAGUUCCUGUAGUCCCCAUGCAGAACACGUGGUCGAUAGGCCGGACGUGGAAGCCCCGCGAGGGGUGGAGCCGACCGGUACUAACGGGCGAACGCGGCACAC
rnacentral:rRNA from 1 species